rnacentral:lncRNA from 1 species
AAGACUUUUUGCUAAAGUCCCAGGCUGUUGAUGUCCACAUCAGUUGUCGACAGAUUGUUCCUCCGCAGCAAUUACUGAUCGGCAGAGUAAUGCACGGCAGCCAUUGUCCUGUAAUUGCCUUGUUAUGAAUCGACGCGCAUGAGAGAGGAAAGCAAACAUUGACUCACUACACUACUUGACACUAUUUGAAGUAAUGGCAUUAAUGUUUCCCUGGUAUAUUGCUCUCUGGUGCAUCUAAGCAUUGAUGGCCGGAUGCUCAUGUGAACAGGUCGUCCGUCCUUGUAUGCAAACUUUAUUGUAGCCAGUAGCAGUGAAGUUAGGGACACGCGGGGGCAGGAGCCUGCCCUCUGAGACUGGUCUAAAAGCAGGGGUGGUCUCAGCUCCCCUCUGUUUGGCUUAAUUGCUGAUUGCUUGCAGAGACGAUUAGUGCAGAGUUGCCUGAGGCUGGUUUGCAGGCACGUAAUCUUUGAAUGUCUUCCGGAUUUGAGGACUUUUUUGGCUGGCCACUACUGGAGUAGAACUCUUGAGGGACUGCAACAUUUGCAUGAUACUGCUGCAGAGUGUUGUGAGCAGACAGGAAUGGCUGUUAUAAUUGAUUGCAAGAAUGCCAUCUGCGAUUGAAGGCAUCAUAUCCCCAUAGUAGACUCAGGGUCGCCGUUUUUCCCUGAAGGUCCGACCGGUGAGUCACUUGUACUGGUGUCAAAAUACUUCUGGAGAUCUCUUGCAUAUUCAACGCAUCAGACAGAAUGUAAUAUACCAUUUGUGCCCAAUUGAUGGUAGUCGCAAGUGGCUCCUCAAGAUUGCCCCAACUCCACUCUGCUGGGC